rnacentral:pre_miRNA from 1 species
UGAUGAUGAUGAUAAUGAUGAUGAUGAUGAUGAUGAUGGUGAUGAUGAUCAUCAUCAUGAACAUAAUCAUCAUCAUCAUUAUUAUUAUUAUUAUUA